CACGGAAUUAGCCGGUCCUUAUUCAUAGGGUACAUACAAUAAACUACACGUAGAUCACUUUAUUCCCCUAUAAAAGCAGUUUACAACCCAUAGGGCCGUCUUCCUGCACGCUACUUGGCUGGUUCAGGCUCUCGCCCAUUGACCAAUAUUCCUCACUGCUGCCUCCCGUAGGAGUUUGGACCGUGUCUCAGUUCCAAUGUGGGGGACCUUCCUCUCAGAACCCCUACUGAUCGUUGCCUUGGUGGGCCGUUACCCCGCCAACAAGCUAAUCAGACGCAUCCCCAUCCAUUACCGAUAAAUCUUUAAUCCUCAUUAGAUGUCUGCUGAGAAUACCAUGGGGCAUUAGUCUUACUUUCGCAAGGUUAUUCCCCUGUAAUGGGCAGGUUGGAUACGCGUUACUCACCCGUGCGCCGGUCGACGCCUAAGAGAGCAAGCUCUCUCAUCGUUUCCCCUCGACUUGCAUGUGUUAAGCCUGUAGCUAGCGUUCAUCCUGAGCCAGGAUCAAACU
rnacentral:rRNA from 1 species